rnacentral:rRNA from 1 species
CCUACGGGCGGCAGCAGUGGGGAAUAUUGGACAAUGGGCGAAAGCCUGAUCCAGCCAUGCCGCGUGUGUGAAGAAGGCCUUCGGGUUGUAAAGCACUUUCAGUGGGGAAGAAAGCCUUGGGGCUAAUACCCUCGAGGAAGGACAUCACCCACAGAAGAAGCACCGGCUAACUCCGUGCCAGCAGCCGCGGUAAUACGGAGGGUGCGAGCGUUAAUCGGAAUUACUGGGCGUAAAGCGCGCGUAGGCGGUCUGAUAAGCCGGUUGUGAAAGCCCCGGGCUCAACCUGGGAACGGCAUCCGGAACUGUCAGGCUAGAGUGCAGGAGAGGAAGGUAGAAUUCCCGGUGUAGCGGUGAAAUGCGUAGAGAUCGGGAGGAAUACCAGUGGCGAAGGCGGCCUUCUGGACUGACACUGACGCUGAGGUGCGAAAGCGUGGGUAGCAAACAGGAUUAGAUCCCCGUGUAGUC